rnacentral:rRNA from 3 species
GGACUACUAGGGUAUCUAAUCCCGUUCGCUCCCCUGGCUUUCGUGUCUCAGCGUCAGUUAAGACCCAGUGUGCCGCUUUCGCCACCGGCGUUCCUUCCAAUAUCAACACAUUUCACCGCUCCACUGGAAGUUCCGCACACCCCUAUCUUACUCAAGUCGACCAGUUUAGAGCGCAAUGCCUUGGUUAGGCCAAGGCCUUUCACACCCUACUUAGUCAACCGCCUACACACCCUUUAAGCCCAGUGAUUCCGAAUAACGUUCGCACAGUACGUAUUACCGCGGCUGCUGGCAC